rnacentral:rRNA from 1 species
GAUGAACGCUGGCGGCGUGCCUAAUACAUGCAAGUCGAGCGAACAGACGAGGAGCUUGCUCCUCUGACGUUAGCGGCGGACGGGUGAGUAACACGUGGAUAACCUACCUAUAAGACUGGGAUAACUUCGGGAAACCGGAGCUAAUACCGGAUAAUAUAUUGAACCGCAUGGUUCAAUAGUGAAAGACGGUUUUGCUGUCACUUAUAGAUGGAUCCGCGCCGCAUUAGCUAGUUGGUAAGGUAACGGCUUACCAAGGCGACGAUGCGUAGCCGACCUGAGAGGGUGAUCGGCCACACUGGAACUGAGCAACGGUCAAGACUCCUACGGGAGGCAGCAGUAGGGAAUCUUCCGCAAUGGGCGAAAGCCUGACGGAGCAACGCCGCGUGAUGGAUGAAGGUCUUCGGAUCGUAAAACCCUGUUAUUAGGGAAGAACAAAUGUGUAAGUAACUAUGCACGUCGUGACGGUACCUAAUCAGAAAGCCACGGCUAACUACGUG